UACGUAGGUGGCAAGCGUUGUCCGGAUUUACUGGGCGUAAAGAGCGCGCAGGCGGUCAGAUAAGUCGAAUGUGAAAGCCCCCCGGCUCAACUGGGGAGGGUCAUUCGAUACUGUUCGACUCGAAGGCAGGAGAGGGAAGUGGAAUUCCCGGUGUAGUGGUGAAAUGCGUAGAUAUCAGGAGGAACACCUGUGGUGUAGACGGCUUUCUGGACCAUAGCUGACGCUGAGACACGAAAGCGUGGGUAGCAAACAGG
rnacentral:rRNA from 1 species